UACAGAGGUCCCGAGCGUUGUUCGGAUUCACUGGGCGUAAAGGGUGCGUAGGUGGUGAGGUAAGUCGGAUGUGAAAUCUCCAGGCUCAACCUGGAAACUGCAUUGGAAACUACCUUGCUGGAGGAUUUGAGGGGGGAUUGGAGUACUUGGUGUAGCAGUGAAAUGCGUAGAUAUCAAGUGGAACACCAGUGGCGAAGGCGAAUCCCUGGAAAAUACCUGACACUGAGGCACGAAAGCUAGGGGAGCAAACAGG
rnacentral:rRNA from 1 species